GGGGCCGUAGCUCAGCUGGGAGAGCACCUGCUUUGCAAGCAGGGGGUCACCGGUUCGAUCCCGGUCGGCUCCA
rnacentral:tRNA from 1 species